CAGAAACGUAUAUCUCUAACCCCGGAGUCAGGCGGGGCCCAAGGCUUUGUAUGCAGGUUGCGCUUGCUUAACGUAUUUCUUUAUCUGUGUCUGUUACUGAGCCGCUUCUGGUAUCGGCAGGUCAAGUCCUCCGUCAGUCAGCCCCCCGUAAGUCAUAAUUAGGAGCACCGAGUCGUACCAAGCUCUGAACCAAGGGAACCCGUCACCUCUCCUCCAGAAGGGACGUAUGUAAAUGUAUCAUUUUAAUUGAUGUCUCUCCAUGAGUUUCGUAUCAUCAGCACUUGUAGCUUAACAUGCUAAUGAACGGGCUCCUCUGUGAGGGGAGCGAUCCUCAAAAGGCAAUGGACACCUCCGGGAAGGAGCACGAGGGCUCAGGAAGAGGACGUUUGGAGAAGGCAGCGACGAUCGUAAAUCCCCCCUCGGCGAGCACGCCGAGUGAGGCUGCGUCAUGGCAGGGAGCAGCAGCGUUCCCCCUGCGAGGUGCAGAGCCACGGCAGGCUGCAGACAGACCCUUGCUGCGAACAGGAUCACAGCAUGGUGGGAGGCAGCCUGGCGCGGGGCUGCCAGGAAGGCCCUCGGAGCCGCACGGCUCUGCAGCUUGUGCUCGGCGGGCUGCCAAGCCCCGGCUUCCUCAGCAGCGUUCCUGGAAAUCAUCCCAAGUUUGGCUUCAGGCUGCUAGCCGGGGCCUGGAGUCCCUCGCAAGCAGCACUAGCAGGUCAAAGCAGCCUGAAAUCCCCCAGACAGGAGCUGGGAAAUGCUCCUACAGCGUGGUGCGUGCCGCUCCCGUGCUGCAUCCCUCCCCCCGACCCUUUGCCAGCCUCAUCUGUCCCCACCGUAAGCCCGUCAGGGUAGGCACUGUGAUGUGCGGUGCCCAGGACAAUGGUGAUCCCUUUCAAACGGCUCCUUAGCACUGCCAUAAUAAGCCUGAUAAAUAAAACAUGGCCUGCAGACGCGGAUUUACUGGAGAGGGCUGAGGGGGCUGUAGCUCCCUCAUUAGUAUCUCCCGGUGCAGCAGGCGUGCUCCUCAUUAUGUGGCGCGGUAGUGGUUGCCUAGUCAUCUGCGGUGCGGCUGCAGCCACUGCAAGGAUGCACCAGGGAUCCGAGGGGUUUUUUUUCCUCUUGCAUUAAUAACAGGAAUUUACCAGGAAAAGAAAAAAAAAAAAAAGAAAAAAAGAAAACCCCCACCAACUUGAAUCUGAAGAGGAUGGAGGGGAAAAAAGUGCGAUGCUGAGCCUGAUUUUCUCUCUUGUGUCUCAGUAAAUGCAGAGAAAUCCAGCUG